rnacentral:lncRNA from 1 species
AUAAUGAAAAAAUCUACCAUGUACAUUGAAAAGCUUUAGAUAUUUAAGAAAGAAUAUAAGAGAGUUGUUGUGCCGUGACAAAAGUCACUGGUUUAAAAGCAAAUUUCCGGUGGACUUCCGGUGUAACCUAAAAUUCAGUUUUGCUCUCCAAAAUUUACACAACUACGUGUUUGAAUUGUGCACUCGAGGCCAGCCUCACAAAC